rnacentral:siRNA from 1 species
CUCGUUUGGUUUGACAUCACUUGU